ACCACUAGUAAGUGCUGGAGCCCUAGUUUGAUUCUGGGCCUGUUUAGCUCUGAACACUACACUCCUGGUAGAUGAACCAGCUGUCACUCUGGCUUUGAAUGUAGUAUCUCAGGUGGACCUCUCAAAUCUAGCGCUGAAAAGUAGAAGACAAAGCUGCUCAAACCACAAGUCCAUCAGAAUCCUCUGGGAGGCAUAAACGCCAUGUUGCAAACACUCACUGUGUGUCCACUACAAGUCAAAGAUGGCUGAGACGAAGUGUCCUCAUUACCAGCCUUACAAAGGCUGGUACAAUCAGCCCUUGACCUUGAGCUCAUUACCAGCCAACAUGAAAAGAGGAAAACACCCAUACACAGCAAGAUUAUGAGGCGUUAACACAGAAGAUGCACCUGAAGUCUGAACAGCCCAUGAUGGCCCACAGACCCAGACAAGGCACUCAGAGGCAGCCCAGACUACAAACAUCCACGUGCCGACAGGGGCCGCGAACAUCAAUACAGACCCGGGAAAUGGCAGAAUCUCAGCCCCAGAGGUGGCCCUCAGCAACAGUUCUAACCCAGACAUCACCAUGGCUUCAGGUGGCAAUGCAGGCCACUCACCUGGUCCUGCCCUGUAGCAUCUGCAGUUGUGACUCGCCACAGUGUACUCACAGCUCUGCUAGUUUAUUGUACCCACCUCUCCAUCAUGCAUUUAUUCAUUGGAGACAAGGCUGCCACCUGAGCUGUGAAGGUGGAGGCCUCAAAAACUAAUUUUAAGGGUAAAAAUGUCAUACAAAUUGU
ensembl:lincRNA Gm1647 uncharacterized LOC110290612